UGAGUAAUUCUCUAAUCUCCUUUAUAAAUAACUACUAAUGUGGAAUAAUUGAAAGCACAUCAUAUUUUGAAUGCAAUUUAAUUUAUAAAUUCUGGCUUUACCUCUAAUUCAUGAUAUGCCUUUGAGCAGAUUUUUUAUCUGAAUUCUUGUAUUUGAUUUUCUGGAAAACAAAAGCUCUUAACUUUCAGCGCUAAAAUUAUAUGUUAUACUAAUCAGUACUUAACAUGUAUUUGGUUAUUUUUUGGAAGAGAAACUACUGAGUUUAAAAAUUUUAUGCUUGCAUAAAAGGGGAAUUUGAACAUAUUUUAUGGACUACUUGCCAGAAGUAGUGAAACUGUCUCUUGUUGAAAGCUCAUUCAAAAAUUUGUCUUAGUCUGUUUUAUAGUGUUUUAACAAAAUAAGAGAGAGUGAGUAAUUUAUAAAGAACAGUCCUUUCUUUUCUGACAGUUCUGGAGUCUGGGAAAUCCAAGAUGAAAAUAUCAACAUUUGGUGUCUCAGGGCCUUCUUGUUGCAUCCUCACACGGUAGCAGGCAGAAGGGCAGGAGAGCAAGCUAGUCCAAUGUGUGAAGCCUCAUUCAUAAGGGCCUUAAUCCCAUGAAGGAGGAAGGAGCCGUCUUGGCCUUAUAACCUCUUAAAAGUCCUACCUCUUAAUAUCAUCACAUUGGCAACACUUGAAUUUUGGAGAAGACUUAGAUCAUUAUAAGAUGAAAGAAGAGCCUAUGAGUGGGAAACAGGUGGAGGAUGAAGGAACUGAAAAAGAAAAUUGGGCAAUAUUAAAGAAAAUUAGGAAGACUGAAAGCCUUUAUCUCCCAGGCUCCAGUGGUCCUCCUGCCUCAGCUUCCCAAGUGUCUCAGACUACAGGUAUGUGCCACCACACCAAGCUAAUGUUUUUGAUUUUUUAGUUGAGAUGAGGUCUGACUGUGUUGACCAUGCUGGUCUUGAACACUUGAGUUCAAGCACUCCUGCUACCUUACCCUG
rnacentral:lncRNA from 1 species